UUAGGACCUUUCUUGUCACAGUUACUAAGUGAAUCCCUGCAGUUCUGAAAUUAGUAACAUGGUUGGCUUCCCCGUUGACUUUGCUUGUCAGAAGGUUGCAAAAGCGAAUCACAUGACCCCGGGACACUGCGACCGUCAUAAAUAGGAAUCAGUUGCCAAGCGGCCAAAUUUUGAUCACAGGGAUGCUGUGAAGUGAAAAACACUCAUAAUUCAACUCUGGCAUUGUAAUUUAGAAUAGGAAUAGAAUAGAAUAGAAUAGAAUAGAAUAGAAUAGAAUAGAAUAGAAUAGAAUAGAAUAGAAUAUUGGACACAAGGAAUUUGUCUUGGUGCAGAUGCUCUCAGUGUACAUAAAAGAAAAAAUACAUUCAUCAAGAAUCAUAAGGUACAACACUUAAUGAUAGUCAUAGGGUACAAAUAAGCAAUCAGGAAACUAUCAAUAUAAAUCGUAAGGAUUCCAGCAACAAAAUUACAGUGACUAAUUUGAUCACUAAAUGAAUGGUUGUAAUCCAAGAUCUAGCUGCAUUCCAUCAGUUUCAUUUGGGUCGGCUGCCUCUAAUCUGGGGGAUCAGACUGCGCCCCAAUUCCUGUGCUUGAGGAAGCCAAUAAAUAAAGUCCUAGAUCUGCAGAAGAAAAAUCAAUGCAAUGAAUGUCUGUAGUGAUCCUUGGUCAUCCAGGUCAAGGUUGUCCCAAAGGUGCAUUUUUCCAAGUGGCAACUGGACUUUCUAGUUUUUAUUUGAAGACGUUUCCCUUCUCAUCCAAGCAGCUUCUUCAGCUCUGACUGCAAGGAGUGUAAACCUUUCCAUUCCCACCCCUCAUCCAGUCAGAGCUGAAGAAGCUGCUUGGAUGAGAAGCGAAACAUCUUCAAAGAAAAAAACCAGAAAGUCCAGUUGCCUCUUGGAAAAAUGCACCUUUGGGAUAAAUGCAGGUGACUAAAUGAAAAGUUAAGUGGAGGGACUAUCUUCAGCCAUGCUUUUAGAGACCUCUGGGGAUUGUAACUGUCUCUCGAUGGCUAGAACUGGGGGAAGAUCCUUUUAUUUUCCGGAGCUUAAGACUUCCUGCCUCCUUUCAGGCCCGACGGGGAGAAAAAAGCCUAUGUCCGUCUCGCUCCAGAUUACGACGCGCUCGAUGUGGCCAACAAGAUUGGGAUCAUCUGAGCGAAGGCCGGCCAGAGUGGUUCAAACGCAGCAUUUGUACAAGUGGUUUACAAACUGUUCUACAAAACUGUUCGAAGAUUUACAAUAAAUUAUCCCGAACAACA